GUGUUAUCUGCCGCUGUUGGAAGAUCCUUUUCCUUCAACAUUUUACUAAAGAUUUACUGUGUCAUCUGCUGCUGUUGGAAGUUCCUUUUCCUUGAACAUUUUAAUAAAGAUUUGCUGUGUCAUCUGCUGCUGUUGGAAGUUCCUUUUCCUUGAACAUUUUACUAAAGAUUUACUGUGUCAUCUGCUGCUGUUGGAAGUUCCUUUUCCUUGAACAUUUUACUAAAGAUUUACUGUGUCAUCUGCUGCUGUUGGAAGUUCCUUUUUCUUGAACAUUUUACUAAAAAUUUACUGUGUUAUUGUACAUAAUUUCUAG
rnacentral:lncRNA from 1 species